rnacentral:rRNA from 1 species
GCAGGCUGCAACUCGCCUGCAUGAAGUCGGAAUUGCUAGUAAAUCGCAGAUCAGCAUGCUGCGGUGAAUACGUUCCCGGGCCUUGUACACACCGCCCGUCACACCAUGGGAGCCGGUAACACCCGAAGUCGGUAGUCUAACCGAAAGGAGGACGCCGCCGAAGGUGGGAUUGAUGACUGGGGUGAAGUCGUAACAAGGUAUC